UCACUUAUCAGCUCCGGAAGAAGAAGAGGCCACUUCCGUGUUGUGACUAACAAAUGAGCGAAUUGUUAGCAGGAACCGCCUAAUAAUAUUUCUCGUUUUAAGUGCGUAAAUUUAACAUUCACACACAGUUUAAAUAAUUUUUAAGUGAAUGUUAAAUAAAAAAAACUUUUUUUUUUUUGAACACUUAUGACGUUGAAUGUCGGCCAGCUAGCUGCAUGACGGACGUGUGGGGAGCUGAGUGAAAAGAACAAGCCCACAAAGGUCGCAGGUAAGCGGGGAAAUAAUCCUGCUUUUCCCCGCCAGGAUGUUCUUCAUCCUCCUCUUCGCCUGCCUGACAUUGGCGUGGAGUCAGGAGGCGGACGACGACUGGUUGGAUCCGCACGACAUGCUCAACUACGACGCCACCUCCAAAACCAUGAGAAAGCCCGUUGAGCAGGCGAGACAUUUUAAUGGAGCAACUUCAGGAGACGCGAGCGCUCACGACCCUGGGCAGACCGAGAUGACGUCAUUGUGCUACAAACAAGUGGCCGAUCUACGAACUCAGAUUCAAGUCGGGGAGAAGAGAGUGGAGAGCCUUCUGCAGCAGCCCACCUGCAUCCCAGUCUUUAAAAGGUUCAUCCGGAGACUUGUGAGAGACAUUACCAGACUGGGAUUGCCUGCAGACUCGACAGAGCUGCAUUACGACGCCCACAUCAAAGUGUCCAGACAGGGCGUGUCAGAGAUGGAGAUGUUCCUGGAAGGAGAAGAGAGCUGGCAAACAGGAGCUCUGGACAGCGCCCUCAGCCAGCUUCUGGUGGACCUUCGGGCACACGACUACCCAGCCUGGAGGUGGCGCUUUGAAGACACCUUUGGCGUGGAGCUGGACACGUUAUUGAAGUUGUUGCUGGCAGUUCUGGUCCUGGUGGUGGCCGUGAGCACCGAGCUGUGGUCCUGCGUCUCCUGGUGUGUGCAGUUCAAGCGCCUCUUCGUCGUCUGCUUUCUAGUCAGCAUCGUGUGGAACUGGCUGUACCUGUACAAGACCGCCUUUGCCGAGCACCAAAAGAACAUGGUGAUGAUGGACAGCAGCAACGACAAGUGCACGGGAGUGAAGGCCAUCGACUGGAGUGAUAAUCUGAAAGAGUGGUUCAGAAGCACGUGGACUUUGCAGGACGACCCUUGCAAGAAAUACUACGAGGUCCUGAUGGUGGACCCCAUUCUGCUGGUACCUCCCACCAAGGCGAUUUCAGUAACCAUGACGACCUUCAUCACCGAGCCACUCAAACACAUCGGCCACGGGAUCAGCGAGUUCCUCCGAGCGCUCCUCCAAGAUCUCCCAAUAACGCUGCAGAUCCCAGUCCUCCUCACCAUCGUGCUUUCCAUUUUGGUGUUCAUGUACGGAAGCGUGCAGGCCGCCUUCCGCUACGGUAUCACCGCACCUCUACGCCAUCGAACUGACCCGCCUCUCCCAGAACCGGAUCAGCCUGGUCGCCGGUCAAUCGAGGACGGGGGUCGCGCCGAGGAAGUGAACGCACGCCCACGCUCUCCACAGAUCCGUGGUAACGAGGCCUCAUCGCCCACGAACGGCUCUCACAGAGCCCGGGCAGUUGUCAGCAGGAUGUUUGUGGAGACGCUACGCACGGCGAGUACGCACGGCGAGUACGAGUUGGACAGUAGACAGGGCGUGGAGAUGGGUCAGGGAGACCACAGUCCCUCAGGAACCGACAGCGACACUCAAGCCCAGAGCAGGCCGGAGACCCGGGAAGGACAUGGUGUGGCCUCUCAGCAUGACACCAAAACAAAGGAACUGGUGGGCAGUAUUGACCAGCAGAAACACACACUUGAAGAUGGUGUGGCAUCUCAGCAUGACACCAAAACAAAGGAACUGGUGGGCAGUAUUGACCAGCAGAAACACACACUUGAAGAUGGUGUGGCAUCUCAGCAUGACAUCAAAACAAAGGAACUAGUGGGCAGUAUUGACAAGCAUAAACACACACUUGAAGAUGGUGUGGCAUCUCAGCAUGACAUCAAAACAAAGGAACUAGUGGGCAGUAUUGACAAGCAUAAACACACACUUGAAGAUGGUGUGGCAUCUCAGCAUGACACCAAAACAAAGGAACUAGUGGGCAGUAUUGACAAGCAUAAACACACACUUGAAGAUGGUGUGGCAUCUCAGCAUGACAUCAAAACAAAGGAACUAGUGGGCAGUAUUGACCAGCAGAAACACACACUUGAAGAUGGUGUGGCCUCUCAGCAUGACACCAAAACAAAGGAACUGGUGGGCAGUAUUGACAAGCAUAAACACACACUUGAAGAUGGUGUGGCAUCUCAGCAUGACACCAAAACAAAGGAACUGGUGGGCAGUAUUGACCAGCAGAAACACACACUUGAAGAUGGUGUGGCAUCUCAGCAUGACAUCAAAACAAAGGAACUAGUGGGCAGUAUUGACAAGCAUAAACACACACUUGAAGAUGGUGUGGCAUCUCAGCAUGACAUCAAAACAAAGGAACUAGUGGGCAGUAUUGACCAGCAGAAACACACACUUGAAGAUGGUGUGGCCUCUCAGCAUGACACCAAAACAAAGGAACUGGUGGGCAGUAUUGACAAGCAUAAACACACACUUGAAGAUGGUGUGGCAUCUCAGCAUGACACCAAAACAAAGGAACUAGUAGGCAGUAUUGACAGGCAUAAACACACACCUGAAGAUGGUGUGGCCUCUCAGCAUGACAUCAAAACAAAGGAACUGGUGGGCAGUACUGACCAGCAUAAACACACACCUGAAGAUGGAGGCAAGGAACAAACAACCUCAAGUGGAGACUCAAUAUGUUUGAAGGACGUGGAGACGCUUGGCACACCAGAGCAGCAAACAUCAUGACACCAAGCCGGUCAUCUGACAGUAACGCUCACUUUUUAUACUAAUCAACCAUCAAUAAACUAAUAAUUCAUCUGACAGUAACGCUCACUUUUUGUACUAAUCAACUAUCAAUAAACUAAUAACUCAUCUGACAGUAAAACCCACUUUUGUACUAAGCAACUAUCAAUAAACUAAUAAUUCAUCUGACAGUAAAACCCACUUUUGUACUAAGCAACUAUCAAUAAACUAAUAACUCAUCCGACAGUAAAACCCACUUUUGUACUAAGCAACUAUCAAUAAACUAAUAAUUCAUCUGACAGUAAAACCCACUUUUGUACUAAGCAACUAUCAAUAAACUAAUAACUCAUCCGACAGUAACGCUCACUUUUUGUACUAAGCAACUAUCAAUAAACUAAUAACUCAUCUGACAGUAAAACCCACUUUUGUACUAAGCAACUAUCAAUAAACUAAUAAUUCAUCUGACAGUAACGCUCACUUUUUGUACUAAUCAACUAUCAAUAAACUAAUAACUCAUCUGACAGUAAAACCCACUUUUGUACUAAGCAACUAUCAAUAAACUAAUAAUUCAUCUGACAGUAAAACCCACUUUUGUACUAAGCAACUAUCAAUAAACUAAUAACUCAUCCGACAGUAAAACCCACUUUUGUACUAAGCAACUAUCAAUAAACUAAUAAUUCAUCUGACAGUAAAACCCACUUUUGUACUAAGCAACUAUCAAUAAACUAAUAACUCAUCCGACAGUAACGCUCACUUUUUGUACUAAGCAACUAUCAAUAGACUAAUAACUCAUCUGACAGUAAAACCCACUUUUGUACUAAUCAACUAUCAAUAAACUAAUAACUCAUCUGACAGUAAAACCCACUUUUGUACUAAGCAACUAUCAAUAAACUAAUAAUUCAUCUGACAGUAAAACCCACUUUUGUACUAAGCAACUAUCAAUAAACUAAUAACUCAUCCGACAGUAAAACCCACUUUUGUACUAAGCAACUAUCAAUAAACUAAUAAUUCAUCUGACAGUAAAACCCACUUUUGUACUAAGCAACUAUCAAUAAACUAAUAACUCAUCCGACAGUAACGCUCACUUUUUGUACUAAGCAACUAUCAAUAAACUAAUAACUCAUCUGACAGUAAAACCCACUUUUGUACUAAUCAACUAUCAAUAAACUAAUAACUCAUCUGACAGUAAAACCCACUUUUGUACUAAGCAACUAUCAAUAAACUAAUAAUUCAUCUGACAGUAAAACCCACUUUUGUACUAAGCAACUAUCAAUAAACUAAUAACUCAUCUGACAGUAAAACCCACUUUUGUACUAAGCAACUAUCAAUAAACUAAUAAUUCAUCUGACAGUAACGCUCACUUUUUGUACUAAUCAACUAUCAAUAAACUAAUAACUCAUCUGACAGUAAAACCCACUUUUGUACUAAGCAAUUAUCAAUAAACUAAUAAUUCAUCUGAUAGUAACACUCACUUUUUGUACUAAUCAACUAUCAAUAAACUAAUAAUUCAUCUGACAGUAAAACCCACUUUUGUACUAAGCAACUAUCAAUAAACUAAUAAUUCAUCUGACAGAAACACUCACUUUUUGUACUAAUCAACUAUCAACAAACUAAUUAUUCAUCCGAUAGUAACACUCACUUCUUCUACUAAUUAACUAUCAAUAAACUCAAUCAUUGAGUUGCUUUUUUGAAACUUUGCUCACAACAAAUGCUUUCAAUCAUUUUUCAAAGCGAUUAUUUUUUAUUUUUUUAUUGAUUCUCAUUUAUUUGGUGCGACUAAUUCACUGGAGAACUUUGCAACAUGACUAUGUAUUUAUUUUUAUUCACGACUUGACUGUAUUUUGGGAAAUUAUUUUCAUUUUCUUGUUGCAAUCAUUUAUUUUUGAGGUAACAACCCAGGGAUAGUCAACAAAUGCCUUAUUUUAUUUUGUGUAAAAUGACACUACAAGGCUCUUCAUAUUCAUGUUUUUUUUUAUUUAUUUAAUGGAUGAAAUAUUGGGGUAUAAAAGUCAUCCAAACAUGA